rnacentral:rRNA from 1 species
UUUCCGGUUGAUCCUGCCAGAGGCUACUGCUAUCGGGGUUCGAUUAAGCCAUGCGAGUUAAAUGUUCUUCGUGAACAUAGCGAACUGCUCAGUAACACGUGGAUAACCUACCCUUAGGACCGGAAUAACCCCGGGAAACUGGGGAUAAUACCGGAUAAGCCAUAGACGCUGGAAUGCCCUAUGGUUCAAAGCUCCGGCACCUAAGGAUGGAUCUGCGGUCUAUCAGGUUGUAGUGGGUGUAACGUACCUACUAGCCGACGACGGAUACGGGUUGUGAGAGCAAGAGCCCGGAGAUGGAUUCUGAGACACGAAUCCAGGCCCUACGGGGUGCAGCAGGCGCGAACACUUUACAAUGCGGGAAACCGCGAUAAGGGAACCCCGAGUGCCAGCAUCAAAUGUUGGCUGUCCAGAUGAUUAAAAAUCAUUUGUUAGCAAGGGCCGGGCAAGACCGGUGCCAGCCGCCGCGGUAACACCGGCGGCCUGAGUGGUAGCCGUUUUUAUUGGGUCUAAAGGGUCCGUAGCCGGCCUGAUAAGUCCUUUGGGAAAUCUGGCAGCUUAACUGUCAGGCUUCUAAGGGAUACUGUCAGGCUUGGGACCGGAAGAGGUAAGGGGUACUCCAGGGGUAGGAGUGAAAUCUUGUAAUCCCUGGGGGACCAUCUGUGGCGAAGGCGCCUUACCAGAACGGGUCCGACGGUGAGGGACGAAAGCUAGGGGAGCAAACCGGAUUAGAUACCCGGGUAGUCCUAGCUGUAAACGAUGCUCGCUAGUUGUCAGACACGGUGCGACCGUGUUUGGUGCCGCAGGGAAGCCGUUCUUCUAGCCACCUGGGAAGUACGGUCGCAAGGCUGAAACUUAAAGGAAUUGGCGGUGGAGCACACAACGGGAGAAGC